rnacentral:rRNA from 1 species
UCAAGCUAUGAAGGGCUCUCGGUGGAUGCCUAGGUGCCGGAAGGCGAUGAAGGACGUGGUAUAGCUGCGAAAAGCUUCGGAGAGCCGCUGAACAGGCUUUGAUCCGGAGAUCUCCGAAUGGGGCAACCCAGUGGGCCUAAUCGCCCACUACCCACCUAGUGGGGGCAAACGCGGGGAACUGAAACAUCUCAGUACCCGCAGGAAAGGAAAGCAACAGCGACUCCCCUAGUAGCGGCGAGCGAACGGGGACCAGCCCAAACCAUCAAACUACGGUUCGAUGGGGUGUGGGCGCACAUUGAAGGUAGCAGUGAUUGUAGCAGAGCUGGCUGGGAAGCCAGGCCAUAGAGGGUGACAGCCCCGUACGCGAAAGAUGAGCUGCGCUGAGUGCGACCCCGAGUAGGACGGGACACGUGAAACCCUGUCUGAAUAUGGGAGGACCACCUUCCAAGGCUAAGUACUAUCCGGCAACCGAUAGCGAACCAGUACCGUGAGGGAAAGGUGAAAAGUACCCCAGCGAGGGGAGUGAAAUAGUACCUGAAACCGAGAGUCUACAAGCAGUCGAAGUACGAUGUCCUCGGGCCGUACGACGGCGUGCCUUUUGCAUAAUGAGUCGGCGAGUUACUCUGCGUGGCAAGCUUAAGCAGCGAUGCGUAGGCGAAGCGAAAGCGAGUCUUAACCGGCGGCCAGUCGCGUGGAGUAGACCCGAAACGAGGUGAUCUACCCAUGGCCAGGUUGAAGCGCGAGUAAAAUCGCGUGGAGGACCGAACCCACCAAGGUUGAAAACUUGGGGGAUGAGCUGUGGGUAGGGGUGAAAGGCCAAUCAAACCUCGAGAUAGCUGGUUCUCCCCGAAAUAUAUUUAGGUAUAGCCUCGAGCGUUCACCACCGGAGGUAGAGCACUGACUGGGCUAGGGGCCCCACCAGGUUACCAAACCCAAUCAAACUCCGAAUGCCGGUGAGUGUAGCUCGGGAGUCAGCCCUUGGGUGAUAACGUCCAAGGACGAGAGGGAAACAACCCAGACCGCCAGCUAAGGUCCCGGAGCGCAUGCUAAGUGGAAAACGUUGUGGAAGCGCUCAGACAACCAGGAGGUUGGCUUAGAAGCAGCCACCCUUUAAAGAAAGCGUAAUAGCUCACUGGUCUAGUGAAUCUGCGCGGAAAAUGUAACGGGGCUCAAGCAUGCCACCGAAGCUGCGGACUCAACGCUCAUGCGAGCGUUGAUUGGUAGGGGAGCUUUCCAGCGGCGUCGAAGCACGACCGACAAGGACGUGUGGAGCCUCUGGAAGUGAAGAUGCCGACAUGAGUAACGACCAAGCAGGUGAGAAACCUGCUCGCCGGAAGCCCAAGGUUUCCUGGGCAAGGUUAAUCCGCCCAGGGUUAGUCGGGUCCUAAGCCGAGGCCGUAUGGCGUAGGCGAUGGGAAUCAGGUUAAUAUUCCUGAACUAGCUUGUACAUGUUGAAGCCAGCGGGGACGGAGAAGGAUAGCUCAGCCGGGAGCUGGUCCCGGUUCAAACCAGUAGGUGGUCUCUCUAGGACCGUGACGGACAAACGGAGAGACAUCCGCCGAGAGGUGAUGAGAGGUCGACCACAACGUGGAACGCCGAACUGAGUGACUCCAUGCUUCCUAGAAAAGCCGCGGGUCGAGUGUUCCGGCUAUCCGUACCGUAAACCGACACAGGUAGGCAGGGAGAGCAUCCCAAGGCGUUGAGAGAACUCUGGUUAAGGAACUAGGCAAAUUGACACCGUAACUUCGGGAGAAGGUGUGCCUCCAAGGUGAACGACUCGCGUCGGGAGCUAGCGGAGGUCGCAGUGAAACGGGGGUAGCGACUGUUUACUAAAAACAUAGGUCUCUGCGAAGUCGCAAGACGACGUAUAGGGACUGACGCCUGCCCGGUGCCGGAAGGUUAAGAGGAGGGGUUAGCGCAAGCAAAGCUCUGAAUCGAAGCCCCGGUAAACGGCGGCCGUAACUAUAACGGUCCUAAGGUAGCGAAAUUCCUUGUCGGGUAAGUUCCGACCUGCACGAAUGGCGUAACCAUUCGGGUUAGUCUGUGUAGGAUAGGUGGGAGGCUACGAUAUCGGGACGCCAGUCUCGGUGGAGCCAACCUUGAAAUACCACCCUGGCUAGCCUGGAUGCCUAACCUCGGUCCGUGAAGCCGGGCCAGGGACACUGUCUGGUGGGUAGUUUGACUGGGGCGGUCGCCUCCCAAAAUGUAACGGAGGCGCACAAAGGUUCCCUCACGCUGAUUGGAAACCAGCGGUAGAGUGCAAAGGCAUAAGGGAGCUUGACUGCAAGACAUACACGUCGAGCAGGUGCGAAAGCAGGUCUUAGUGAUCCGGCGGUCCCGUGUGGAAGGGCCGUCGCUUAACGGAUAAAAGGUACUCCGGGGAUAACAGGCUUAUCUCCCCCAAGAGUUCACAUCGACGGGGAGGUUUGGCACCUCGAUGUCGGCUCAUCGCAUCCUG